rnacentral:RNase_P_RNA from 1 species
GUACACUGGGCAGUUGCGGGCUCCAUUGGAGCGUGAGGAAAGUCCGGGCUUCACACAGCAGGGUAACGGCUAACAGCCGCCGAGGGCGACCUUAGGGAAAGUGCAACAGAAAUAAACCGCCUGUGCUUUUGCAUAUGGCAAGGAUGGAAAGGCGAGGUAAGAGCUCACCGGCAUAAAGGAGACUUUAUGGCCAUGUAAACCCUACCCGAAGCAACACCGACAGGAUAUGAUACGUCAGCUGGACGAAAACCGAAAGGUGGCUUGAACUGCGGAGCAAUCCGCCGUCUGGAUAGAUGACUGCCUUAAAAGACAGAACCCGGCUUACAGGUGUACUCA